rnacentral:rRNA from 1 species
CCUACGGGAGGCAGCAGUGAGGAAUAUUGGUCAAUGGGCGCGAGCCUGAACCAGCCAAGUCGCGUGAGGGAAGACGGUCCUAUGGAUUGUAAACCUCUUUUGUAGGGGAGCAAAAGACGACACGCGUGGCGUUCCGAGAGUACCCGACGAAAAAGCAUCGGCUAACUCCGUGCCAGCAGCCGCGGUAAUACGGAGGAUGCGAGCGUUAUCCGGAUUUAUGGGGUUUAAAGGGUGCGCAGGCGGAAGAUCAAGUCAGCGGUAAAAUCGAGGGGCUCAACCUCGUCGUGCCGUUGAUACUGGUUUUCUUGAGUGUGUGUGCAGUAGGCGGCAUGCGUGGUGUAGCGGUGA